rnacentral:rRNA from 1 species
GAAACGUGGAUUAAUACCUCAUGGUACUAUAUAACUGCAUAGUUUAAUAGUUAAAACUUCGGUGGUAUAAGAUGGGCAUGCGUAGGAUUAGGUAGUUGGUGAGGUAAUAGCUCACCAAGCCGACGAUCCUUAGGGGUUCUGAGAGGAUUAUCCCCCACACUGGUACUGAGACACGGACCAGACUCCUACGGGAGGCAGCAGUGAGGAAUAUUGGGCAAUGGAGGCAACUCUGACCCAGCCAUCCCGCGUGCAGGAUGACGGCCCUAUGGGUUGUAAACUGCUUUUGUUUGCCAAGAAUGGUUACUACGUGUAGUAAUUUGACGGUAGCAAAUGAAUAAGGACCGGCUAACUCCGUGCCAGCAGCCGCGGUAAUACGGAGGGUCCAAGCGUUAUCCGGAUUCAUUGGGGUUUAAAGGGGUGCGCAGGCGGANCUUUAGGUCAGUGGUGAAAUCUUGCCGCUUAACGGUAAAAUUGCCAUUGAUNUGAAGUNCUUGAAUUAUGGUUUGAGGUAGCCGAA